CACGUAGGGUGCAAGCGUUGUCCGGAUUCAUUGGGCGUAAAGGGCUAGUAGGCGGCUUAGCAAGUCGGGUGUGAAAUUUCCAGGCUUAACCUGGAACCGCCAUCCGAUACUGCUAUGGCUAGAGUCCGGUAGGGGACCACGGAAUUCCUGGUGUAGCGGUGAAAUGCGCAGAUAUCAGGAAGAACACCCGUGGCUAAGGCGGCUCUCUAGUACGGUACUGACGCUGAGACGCGAAAGCGUGGGGAGCGAACAGG
rnacentral:rRNA from 1 species